rnacentral:rRNA from 1 species
ACUGGGGGACAACACUUAGAAAUGAGUGCUAAUACCCCAUACUCCUAUUUAGCAUAAGUUAGAUAGGGAAAGUUAAUAACGCUCUAUAGAUAACUUGAUAGAUUCCAAACUUUCCCUCCCAUUAUAUUAAUGGGACGGGGGCUUUAGGUGGGUCAAGGGAGCGUAGCUCCUUGUCACAAAGACGGACUUUGUUCGUCUGCGAAGUUAUGUAUAGAGUGUUUUUCGGUGUAGGAUGAGACUAUAUAGUAUCAGCUAGUUGGUAAGGUAAAGGCUUACCAAGGCUAUGACGCU